AGCAGUGUCUGGUAGGGUACCUG
rnacentral:piRNA from 1 species